AUACGUAGGGGGCGAGCGUUGUCCGGAAUGACUGGGCGUAAAGGGCGUGUAGGCGGCUGUCUAAGUCUGGAGUGAAAGUCCUGCUUUCAAGGUGGGAAUUGCUUUGGAGACUGGAUGGCUUGAGUGCGGAAGAGGUAAGUGGAAUUCCCAGUGUAGCGGUGAAAUGCAUAGAUAUGCUACAGAACACCAAUCGCGAAGGCAGCAUACGAGGCAUCAUCUGACGCUGAUGCACGAAAGCGUGGGGAUCAAACAGGAUUAGAUACCCUGGUAGUCCACGCUGUAAACUAUGAUAACUAUCUUUUAGCGAUACACAGUUAGAGGGUACGAGAAAUCAUUAAGUUAUCCACCUGGGGAUUACGUUCGCAAGAAUGAAACUCAAAUGAAUUGACGGGG
rnacentral:rRNA from 1 species